rnacentral:rRNA from 1 species
CCUACGGGAAGCAGCAGUGAGGAAUAUUGGUCAAUGGACGAUAGUCUGAACCAGCCAAGUAGCGUGAAGGAUGACUGCCCUAUGGGUUGUAAACUUCUUUUAUAUGGGAAUAAAACGUUCCACGUGUGGGAUUUUGUAUGUACCAUAUGAAUAAGGAUCGGCUAACUCCGUGCCAGCAGCCGCGGUACUACGGAGGAUCCGAGCGUUAUCCGGAUUUAUUGGGUUUAAAGGGAGCGUAGGUGGAUUGUUAAGUCAGUUGUGAAAGUUUGCGGCUCAACCGUAAAAUUGCAGUUGAUACUGGCAGUCUUGAGUACAGUAGAGGUGGGCGGAAUUCGUGGUGUAGCGGUGAAAUGCUUAGAUAUCACGAAGAACUCCGAUUGCGAAGGCAGUUCACUGGACUGCAACUGACACUGAGGCUCGAAAGUGUGGGUAUCAAACAGGAUUAGAUACCCUUGUAGUC